rnacentral:sRNA from 1 species
CUAAAAGCAAUUGAAUUGUACACUUUAUGUGGGUGAAUUGUAUGCCGUAUGAAUUGUAUGCCGUAUAUCUCAACAUUGUAUUAGAAAAUAAAAUUAGUGAAGCAUAGAAGUUAUGGAGAAAUACUGGAAAGAAGAAAUACAAGAACUCAAGGAAGAGACAGCCAGACAACAGUAGGAUGUGAAAUGGGAACCAGCAGAAAAAAAGAAAUAGAGAAAAAUGAUCAAGCCAUUUCAGAAGUACACAAGGGAGACUAGACACCAUGGCAAAGAUCAUAAAAGUAGAAAUGAAAUUUUAUGCAUUUAUGACAUUAACAGAGAACAGGACUAUGUCAAGAAUUCUGAGGGUAUACUUGGUGAAAAUGAAUUAAGACCACCCUCCCAGCUACAUUCUCUCUUAGAGAAGAUCGAGACAGGGUCCCUAUCAGAAAAGA